rnacentral:rRNA from 1 species
ACACUCCUACGGGAGGCAGCAGUGGGGAAUCUUGCGCAAUGGGCGAAAGCCUGACGCAGCCAUGCCGCGUGAAUGAUGAAGGUCUUAGGAUUGUAAAAUUCUUUCACCGGGGACGAUAAUGACGGUACCCGGAGAAGAAGCCCCGGCUAACUUCGUGCCAGCAGCCGCGGUAAUACGAAGGGGGCUAGCGUUGCUCGGAAUUACUGGGCGUAAAGGGAGCGUAGGCGGACAUUUAAGUCGGGGGUGAAAUCCCGGGGCUCAACCUCGGAAUUGCCUUUGAUACUGGGUGUCUUGAGUAUGAGAGAGGUGUGUGGAACUCCGAGUGUAGAGGUGAAAUUCGUAGAUAUUCGGAAGAACACCAGUGGCGAAGGCGACACACUGGCUCAUUACUGACGCUGAGGCUCGAAAGCGUGGGGAGCAAACAGGAUUAGAAACCCGUGUAGUCCCAUGAU